GCCCAUGUAACUCGAUGGUCGAGCACCCGCCUCGUACGCGGUGUGAGCCGGUUCGACUCCGGACGUGGGCU
rnacentral:tRNA from 1 species